rnacentral:tRNA from 1 species
GGGUUGUGGCUCAGUGGUAGAGCGCAUGCCUGGCAAAUGCGAGGCCCUGGGUUCAAUCCUCAGCCCCA